CGGAAAUGCCCAAUCUUCAUGCCCGAGGGCCUGCAUCGGGGCCCGUUUCUUGCCGCUCCCCGAAGAUGCAAGCCCUGGGCAGCACUGCCAGUACAGCCCACCCUCGCCGUGGCAGUGUGCACAUGUUACAGCUUGGCAGCCCAUGGGUCGGUACGGUGCUUCGAUUCCUGUAAACGACGAGCGCACUAGUUGCGUCGGCGCGUGGAGAGGCCUCAAGCAGUCAAGCUUAUCCGCCUAUGUGCAGCAGCCAGUAGGGCCUGCCUCCCUGGUUAUGGUCGAGUGGAAGGGCGCCGGCGCGGCCCCCUUUGCCACAGGCUCAAACCGCCACGCAUACCACCCAUGAACGUCCCUGAGGACCAGGCAGACAAAGGUGUGCGCAGCUGCUGCUGCAUCUGGUUCGUGUUUGCUGUCGGAUGACUGAGUUCCGCGAAGUCGCUGUCAGCUGGCACGGGCGGUACAGCCUUUUGUCCCCUGCCGCGCGGACACCACGACGGAUGGCCACAACCGUUAGAAAGCAAGCGAGCGGCUGCAGCGCAACAGAUGUACACACGGUAGCAAGCCCCGUCAUGUAUGCACCAGCGCCGGCGCGCUUGCCAGUCCGCGUCAGAACCUACGUCGAUGCGGGUGCCGCUUGCGCGGGAUGCAACACCGCACUGCCAGCGCAGUUAGUCUGCGGAGAGAGGCACCGGUUAAGGGCUAUGAUUUCAUGAUAAAGACCCG
rnacentral:lncRNA from 1 species